GUGCUCACUUCGGCAGCACAUAUACUAAAAUUGGAAUGAUACAGAGAAGAUUAGCAUGGCCCCUGUGCAAGGAUGACAUGCAAAUUCAUGAAGCAUUCCAUAUUUUU
rnacentral:snRNA from 1 species